AGCGAACGCUGGCGGCAGGCCUAACACAUGCAAGUCGAACGAAGUCUUCGGACUUAGUGGCGGACGGGUGAGUAACACGUGGGAACGUGCCCUUUGGUACGGAAUAACUCAGGGAAACUUGAGCUAAUACCGUAUGUGCCCUUCGGGGGAAAGAUUUAUCGCCAUUGGAGCGGCCCGCGUCUGAUUAGCUAGUUGGUGAGGUAAAGGCUCACCAAGGCGACGAUCAGUAGCUGGUCUGAGAGGAUGAUCAGCCACAUUGGGACUGAGACACGGCCCAAACUCCUACGGGAGGCAGCAGUGGGGAAUCUUGCGCAAUGGGCGAAAGCCUGACGCAGCCAUGCCGCGUGAAUGAUGAAGGUCUUAGGAUUGUAAAAUUCUUUCACCGGGGACGAUAAUGACGGUACCCGGAGAAUAAGCACCGGCUAACUACGUGCCAGCCGCCGCCGUAAUAC
rnacentral:rRNA from 1 species